AUUGAACGCUGGCGGCAGGCCUAACACAUGCAAGUCGAGCGGAUGAAGGGAGCUUGCUCCUGGAUUCAGCGGCGGACGGGUGAGUAAUGCCUAGGAAUCUGCCUGGUAGUGGGGGAUAACGUCCGGAAACGGGCGCUAAUACCGCAUACGUCCUGAGGGAGAAAGUGGGGGAUCUUCGGACCUCACGCUAUCAGAUGAGCCUAGGUCGGAUUAGCUAGUUGGUGGGGUAAAGGCCUACCAAGGCGACGAUCCGUAACUGGUCUGAGAGGAUGAUCAGUCACACUGGAACUGAGAACCGGCCCAGGCCCCUAGGGGAGGCAGCGGGGGGGAAUAUUGGAAAAGGGGCGAAACCCUGAACCAGCCAUGCCGGGGGUGUGAAGAAGGUCUUCGGUUUGUAAAGCCCUUUAAGUUGGGGGGAAGGGCAGUAAGUUAAACCCUGGCUGUUUUGACGUUACCAACAAAAUAAGCACCGGCUAACUUCGU
rnacentral:rRNA from 1 species